GCUAGCUCCGAGGUACUGUUAGCUCCUUCUGACUAGGCUCGUCUCUUUUCUUUCACAAAUCUAGCGGAGCAAACGAGGCGGAUGGCACAGUUGAGCUAAGAACCUUCAGUAAACUGACAUUUCUCUGAAUGUCAACGGGGGCAAAAGCAGCCCAUCGGAGCUGAAUUUCCACUUAGGCUUUCUGUAAACCAUCAUUUCUAUUGUUUGUUUGGCUCUAGGGAUUACUCGGGCUGAACUUUUUUUAUCAUAAAAACAAAAAUCUAUAUUAAUGAUUGAUUGACUGCUGCAGGCAUUGCCUGAUGGAGCAUGGUAUUGUUCCACUGAAAGACCUAGUCAGUUGUGGAGCAGAACCUGUUCCUGUUCCUGCCGUGAUUGUCGAUCUCAGAAAGUAGAAGUGUGAAGAGAAAGUUUUGAUGAAGAUGGCUACCUUGAUAUUCAAUGCAGAGUUUUGAGGGAGAAAACCUCAGAAGAUAGUAAAUCGGUGCUGUCCAAGAUGGCAUUAGGAGUUUAGUUUUUUCAU
rnacentral:lncRNA from 1 species